GAUGAACGCUGGCGGCGUGCCUAAUACAUGCAAGUCGAGCGAACGGACGAGAAGCUUGCUUCUCUGAUGUUAGCGGCGGACGGGUGAGUAACACGUGGAUAACCUACCUAUAAGACUGGGAUAACUUCGGGAAACCGGAGCUAAUACCGGAUAAUAUUUUGAACCGCAUGGUUCAAAAGUGAAAGACGGUCUUGCUGUCACUUAUAGAUGGAUCCGCGCUGCAUUAGCUAGUUGGUAAGGUAACGGCUUACCAAGGCAACGAUGCAUAGCCGACCUGAGAGGGUGAUCGGCCACACUGGAACUGAGACACGGUCCAGACUCCUACGGGAGGCAGCAGUAGGGAAUCUUGCGCAAUGGGCGAAAGCCUGACGGAGCAACGCCGCGUGAGUGAUGAAGGUCUUCGGAUCGUAAAGCUCUGUUAUUAGGGAAGAACAUAUGUGUAAGUAACUGUGCACAUCUUGACGGUACCUAAUCAGAAAGCCACGGCUAACUACGUG
rnacentral:rRNA from 1 species